AUCUCGAAAGGGAUGCUAAUACCGCAUACGUCCUACGGGAGAAAGCAGGGGAUCACUUGUGACCUUGCGCUAAUAGAUGAGCCUAAGUCGGAUUAGCUAGUUGGUGGGGUAAAGGCCUACCAAGGCGACGAUCUGUAGCGGGUCUGAGAGGAUGAUCCGCCACACUGGGACUGAGACACGGCCCAGACUCCUACGGGAGGCAGCAGUGGGGAAUAUUGGACAAUGGGGGGAACCCUGAUCCAGCCAUGCCGCGUGUGUGAAGAAGGCCUUAUGGUUGUAAAGCACUUUAAGCGAGGAGGAGGCUCUUUUGGUUAAUACCCAAGAUGAGUGGACGUUACUCGCAGAAUAAGCACCGGCUAACUCUGUGCCAGCAGCCGCGGUAAAUACAGAGGGUGCAAGCGUUAAUCGGAUUUACUGGGCGUAAAGCGCGCGUAGGCGGCCAAUUAAGUCAAAUGUGAAAUCCCCGAGCUUAACUUGGGAAAUUGCAUUCGAUACUGGUUGGCUAGAGUGUGGGGAGAGGAUGGUAGAAUUCCAGGUGUAGCGGUGAAAUGCGUAGAGAUCUGGAGGAAUACCGAUGGGCGAAGGCAGCCAUCUGCCUAACACUGACGCUGAGGUGCGAAAGGCUGGGGAGCAAACAGGAAUAGGAUACCCUGGUAGUCCAUGCCGUAAAACGAUGCCUACCAGCCGUGGGGCCCUUUGAGGCUUUUAGUGGCGCAGCUAACGCGAUGUAGUAGACCGCCUGGGGGAGUACGGUCGCAGACUAAAAAUUCAAAAUUGAUUGGACGGGGGCCCGCACAAGCGGUGGGACCUAGGUGUUUUAAGUUCGAAUGCAACGCGAACGAACCUUUACCUGGCCUUGGAAU
rnacentral:rRNA from 1 species